rnacentral:rRNA from 1 species
UACGUAGGGGGCGAGCGUUGUCCGGAUUUAUUGGGCGUAAAGAGCGUGUAGGCGGUUCGGUAAGUCUGUCGUGAAAUCCUGAGGCUCAACCUUGGACGUGCGAUGGAUACUGCCGGGCUAGAGGAUGGUAGAGGCGAGUGGAAUUCUCGGUGUAGCGGUGAAAUGCGCAGAUAUCAGGAAGAACACCCGUGGCUAAGGCGGCUCUCUGGGACGGUACUGACGCUGAGACGCGAAAGCGUGGGGAGCGAACAGG